rnacentral:tRNA from 1 species
UGCGGGUUGAUGUAAUAGUAACAUAAUUGGCUCAUGACCAGCAUUUAAGGGUGCAAGUCCUUUAUCCGCAU